rnacentral:rRNA from 1 species
GACGAACGCUGGCGGCGUGCUUAACACAUGCAAGUCGAACGGAAAGGCCCUGCUUUUGUGGGGUGCUCGAGUGGCGAACGGGUGAGUAACACGUGAGUAACCUGCCCUUGACUUUGGGAUAACUUCAGGAAACUGGGGCUAAUACCGGAUAGGAGCUCCUGCUGCAUGGUGGGGGUUGGAAAGUUUCGGCGGUUGGGGAUGGACUCGCGGCUUAUCAGCUUGUUGGUGGGGUAGUGGCUUACCAAGGCUUUGACGGGUAGCCGGCCUGAGAGGGUGACCGGCCACAUUGGGACUGAGAUACGGCCCAGACUCCUACGGGAGGCAGCAGUGGGGAAUAUUGCACAAUGGGCGGAAGCCUGAUGCAGCAACGCCGCGUGCGGGAUGACGGCCUUCGGGUUGUAAACCGCUUUCGCCUGUGACGAAGCGUGAGUGACGGUAAUGGGUAAAGAAGCAACGGCUAACUACGUG